CUGCGGAAGGAUCAUUACCUAGAGUUUGUGGGCUUUGCCUGCUAUCUCUUACCCAUGUCUUUUGAGUACCUUACGUUUCCUCGGCGGGUUCGCCCGCCGACUGGACAAUUUAAACCAUUUGCAGUUGCAAUCAGCGUCUGAAAAACUUUAAUAGUUACAACUUUCAACAACGGAUCUCUUGGUUCUGGCAUCGAUGAAGAACGCAGCGAAAUGCGAUAAGUAGUGUGAAUUGCAGAAUUCAGUGAAUCAUCGAAUCUUUGAACGCACAUUGCGCCCCUUGGUAUUCCAUGGGGCAUGCCUGUUCGAGCGUCAUUUGUACCUUCAAGCUCUGCUUGGUGUUGGGUGUUUGUCUCGCCUCUGCGUGUAGACUCGCCUCAAAGCAAUUGGCAGCCGGCGUAUUGAUUUCGGAGCGCAGUACAUCUCGCGCUUUGCACUCAGAACGACGACGUCCAAAAGUACAUUUUUACACUCUUGACCUCGGAUCAGGUAGGGAUACCCGCUGAACUUAAGCAUAUC
rnacentral:rRNA from 1 species